CCUACGGGUGGCUGCAGUAAGGAAUAUUGGUCAAUGGGCGCAAGCCUGAACCAGCCAUGCCGCGUGCAGGAAGACGGCCCUCCGGGUUGUAAACUGCUUUUGUACGGGAAUAAACCUCGCUACGUGUAGCGAGCUGAAUGUACCGUAAGAAUAAGGAUCGGCUAACUCCGUGCCAGCAGCCGCGGUAAUACGGAGGAUCCAAGCGUUAUCCGGAUUUAUUGGGUUUAAAGGGUGCGUAGGCGGCCUGUUAAGUCAGGGGUGAAAGACGGUGGCUC
rnacentral:rRNA from 1 species